rnacentral:lncRNA from 1 species
UGAAGUGGUCAGAAACUCUUCCAUGGUCAGCUGUAGCUCACAGGUUUCUCAGAGUCAAAGAGAAAAGAUUUGACCAAGUAGCAGAGUUGAAUAUAGGCUGAAGGCCCAUCAAUCUACUCCUGUCCCAAGAUGCUCUGCCUGAGGACAGGGAGGCUCUACCAUGAUGGUGCACAUAAACUGAUCCCUUCCUGCUUUCCACUAUUCCUUCUGUGCACUAACUAACCCAGUAUGGAUUUUUUGUUUGGUUUGGUUUUGAUGCCUGGAAAUGGUGACAACAACUGUCUGGCAGUAGCUGGGCUGCUAACUAUUUAGGCUUCUUCUGAGUCUAAUUCAAUCUGUAGACUUCUGGAGUAUGUUCUAGAACACACAGUACAAAAUGUGGUUCUUCCAGUAGCAACUGGGAGGCAGACUGUGAAACUCAUCACUGUGAUCAAGGAUGCUGCAGAAGGUGGAGUUUGAUCCUAGAUAUCAAACCUUCUAUGUUCUCUCUUCAUGGUGUUGUCUAGGAAGUUCAAAGCCCAAACCCAUGGCCUUCUUGUCAUGGGAUAACCUGGAAUCUCUAAUGGCAGGCAUUUUUUAGCCUAGAAAUGAUGACCAAUGGAGGGAAGAAGAAGGAGAAAGAAGCCAUGCAGAUGUUAGCGUCCCUAUGCUGCGGGGUGGCUACUCAUUCGGCCUGACAAAGUCCACGCUGACAAGGCUGAACCUUCAUGAGUGCCUCCUGUGGGUGCUGGGCCAGUUUCUGAAUUAGAUGAGAACUGUGCUGUUAGAGAGUUCCUAGACUUGGUGGAGCAUACUAAAUCUUCUGAAGGCAGAAAGCACCAGGCAUGAGGGAUCAGCUGUGUGCUGCGUCGUCUACAGAAAGCCACAGGGGUUUUUUCAUAGUUGCAUCUUAAAAUGUAUGUGGCUCUUGGGAUCUGAAGAAAAGAGAAGACUGGAGAAGACAUGAAGACUUCUGACAACACACCAGUGUCAACGCCAUUCAUAGUCUGUUGACUUGAUUGCAGAGCCCUGAUACUAUCACAAGGGAAGCUGAGAGGAGUACGGGACAUGGAAUGUUUGAUCACCAGCGGAGUGUAGGGGGCCUGGCAUAAAGAUCCUGCUGGUUGUUAUGAUUUCCUUUGCUCGUGGCUUUGGAAACAGGAAAAGACUGGAAAAUGGAAGUGGAAAGAGGCAGAAAUAAACUCUGAACUGUCCUACUUGGUAAGCCCAGGUUCUCCAUCGUUAUUGUCUCUUAAACAAAAGAGCCCGAAACUUCUCCU